rnacentral:rRNA from 1 species
CCUACGGGGGGCAGCAGUGGGGGAUAUUGCACAAUGGGGGGAACCCUGAUGCAGCGACGCCGCGUGGGUGAAGGAGUGCUUCGGCAUGUAAAGCCCUAUCGGCAGGGAAGAAGCAAGACGGUACCUGACUAAGAAGCCCCGGCUAACUACGUGCCAGCAGCCGCGGUAAUACGUAGGGGGCGAGCGUUAUCCGGAUUCACUGGGUGUAAAGGGAGCGUAGACGGCAAUACAAGUCGGAAGUGAAAUACCCGGGCUCAACCUGGGAAUUGCUUUGGAAACUGUAUGGCUGGAGUGCUGGAGAGGUAAGCGGAAUUACUAGUGUAGCGGUGAAAUGCGUAGAUAUUAGGAGGAACACCAGUGGCGAAGGCGGCUUACUGGACAGUAACUGACGUUGAGGCUCGAAAGCGUGGGGAGCAAACAGGAUUAGAUACCCGAGUAGUC